AUUGAACGCUGGCGGCAGGCCUAACACAUGCAAGUCGAGCGAGCGGCGGAUGGGUGAGUACUGUAUGGGGACUGCUCGAUAGAGGGGGAUAACUACGGCAAACGCUAGCUACUCCCGCAUACUAUCGGAUAACCCAUAUGUGAUUAGCUAGGAGGUGAGGUAAUGGCUCACCCAGGCGACGAUCCCUAGCUGGUCUGAGAGGAUGAUCAGCCACACUGGGACUGAGACACGGCCCAGACUCCUACGGAGGCAGCAGUGGGGAAUAUUGCACAAUGGGCGCAAGCCUGAUGCAGCCAUGCCGCGUGUGUGAAGAAGGCCCUAGGGUUGUAAAGUACUUUCAGUCGGGAGGCGUUACCGACAGAAGAAGCACCGGCUAACUCCGUGCCAGCAGCCGCGGUAAUUC
rnacentral:rRNA from 1 species